UUUAUAUGGCAUUCAGCAUAUGUAUCAUUAUUGUGAAAGAAGCAUAUUCGCUAGUUCAGAGUGGGAACCGGUGACUUGUCCCAAGCCUUGAGUGGGGGCUUAGAGCUCAGAGUGGGGCAUCGGGGUUCGCAGAGAUUAGAACUCGAUUCAUAGGAAGAACCAAAUGUUGAGUCAGUAUCGCAUGCAUAUAAAGUUGAAUUGUGAGUCUGGUUCAGAGUGGGGAUUGUGACGAGCAUGAGUCGAGUCAUUGUUGCAUUAUAUUGCAUGAAUGUGAUUGGAUGAUUAUGAUGUGGGUGAGAUAUGAAUACAUGAUGUUGGUGUGCUUUGUGUUGUUGUGUUUGUUCUCCUCUAGAGUACAGAUAAUCAGGUACCUAAGUAGGAGCUUGAGGUUGAGGACGGGUUUGUGCCUCUUUAGUUGCUUUUCGUUCGGGUCUAUAGUUGGA
rnacentral:lncRNA from 1 species